rnacentral:rRNA from 1 species
UACGUAGGAGGCAAGCGUUGUCCGGAAUUACUGGGCGUAAAGCGCGCGUAGGCGGCUUUGUAAGUUAGAGGUGAAAGCCCGGAGCUCAACUCCGGAACUGCCUUUAAGACUGCAUCGCUAGAAUUGUGGAGAGGUGAGUGGAACUGCGAGUGUAGAGGUGAAAUUCGUAGAUAUUCGCAAGAACACCAGUGGCGAAGGCGGCUCACUGGCCCGUUACUGACGCUGAGGCACGAAAGCGUGGGGAGCAAACAGG